GUGCCAGCCGCCGCGGUAAAACGUAGGAUCCGAGCGUUAUCCGAAUUUACUGGGCGUAAAGCGCGUGUAGGCGGUUCGGUAAGUUGGAUGUGAAAUCUCCUGGCUCAACUGGGAGAGGUCGUUCAAUACUGUCGGACUAGAGGGUAGGAGAGGGAGGUGGAAUUCCCGGUGUAGUGGUGAAAUGCGUAGAUAUCGGGAGGAACACCUGUGGCGAAAGCGGCCUCCUGGCCUAUUCCUGACGCUCAGACGCGAAAGCUAGGGGAGCAAACGGGAUUAGAAACCCCUGUAGUCC
rnacentral:rRNA from 1 species